ACGGCUCAGUAACACGUGGAUAACCUGCCCUUGGGUCCGGCAUAACCCCGGGAAACUGGGGAUAAUUCCGGAUAACGCACAUAUGCUGGAAUGCUUUAUGCGUAAAAUGGAUUCGUCUGCCCAAGGAUGGGUCUGCGGCCUAUCAGGUAGUAGUGGGUGUAAUGUACCUACUAGCCUACAACGGGUACGGGUUGUGAGAGCAAGAGCCCGGAGAUGGAUUCUGAGACAUGAAUCCAGGCCCUACGGGGCGCAGCAGGCGCGAAAACUUUACAAUGCGGGAAACCGUGAUAAGGGGACACCGAGUGCCAGCAUCAUAUGCUGGCUGUCCAGAUGUGUAAAAUACAUCUGUUAGCAAGGGCCGGGCAAGACCGGUGCCAGCCGCCGCGGUAACACCGGCGGCCCGAGUGGUGAUCGUGAUUAUUGGGUCUAAAGGGUCCGUAGCCGGUUUGGUCAGUCCUCCGGGAAAUCUGAUGGCUCAACCAUUAGGCUUUCGGGGGAUACUGCCAGGCUUGGAACCGGGAGAGGUAAGAGGUACUACAGGGGUAGGAGUGAAAUCUUGUAAUCCCUGUGGGACCACCUGUGGCGAAGGCGUCUUACCAGAACGGGUUCGACGGUGAGGGACGAAAGCUGGGGGCACGAACCGGAUUAGAUACCCGGGUAGUCCCAGCCGUAAACGAUGCUCGCUAGGUGUCAGGCAUGGCGCGACCGUGUCUGGUGCCGCAGGGAAGCCGUGAAGCGAGCCACCUGGGAAGUACGGCCGCAAGGCUGAAACUUAAAGGAAUUGGCGGGGGAGCAC
rnacentral:rRNA from 1 species